UUAACAAGAUGUUUAAUAAAUACAAAUAAAAAGGAACUGGUUUGAUUUUCGGGUUUUAGCAUGGUAAAGAUCAUUGCACUCGUACAUCAAGGUUGUUUGCCUCUAUUUUUUAUUUUCUUUAUAUAUGUACUCAUCGCAUAUACAUUAGAAAUGUAUUUAGCGUCAUGUUAGCGAAAUAAUGUAUGAACUGUAGAUUCUAAAGAUAUAAUAUGAUACGCAAUAAAUAAAAUGAACAAUGUUCUACAAAAAAAAAGAAAAAGAAAAAAAAAAAAGCAUAGACUCAUAUAUCUUGUGAACAAAUUUAAAAAUAUCUAGUUUUUG